CGACCUUUCCUCCUUCUCCUUGACGCCACGGCCGCCACACUUGGAACCGAUCUCCGCCGUUGGUACCAAACGAACCACCACUCGACCGCCGACGUUUCUUGACCCUUCGCCGGAGUUUCCGUGGCCGGAGAUCGCCGGAAAACUCCAUUUUCGCCGGAUUUCCAGUUUGAACUUUGAGCUCGAUUUUCUCCUUCAAUUCUCCACCAAAUCGAUCGAGUAAGGUAUGGUUUCUCAGCUCCUUUUCGUGUUCUAGCUAAUGGAUGUAUGGGUUUCGAUCGAUUUGAGCUCUAAAGGGUUCGAUUUUUCGACUUGAAAAUUGGCCGAAACUUCGGCCGCCGUGAUCUACUGUUUUCGAUCACUUUUUGGGGUAUGUCCAAGAACAAAAGUGACUCCAAAUGGGGUGGUUUACCUAAAAUAGGAGUUUGGAGUCUUGGUUCCGAGAUUUUUCGGCCACUCGGUAUCGCUUUAGACACCCGAAUCUGCCCGCGCGUGCUGGGGCGCGUGGGCGAGGGUGGUGGAGUAACUCUGGGCAGUUUUGAGAUCCUCGUGUCAUCACGAGCGCGUAGGAUUUCGCGGAUCUCGAUUCGGAGUCCGUUUGAGCCCCGAACGGAUUUUCCAUAUCGCGCGAUCCUUGGGUGCAGUGUCGUCAAAUCGUCGGAUCGCGCUGAAUUUCGGAUAUGUCGGUCUACAUGAUUUCAGGAUCGUGUAGGAUUCGACGGAUUGCGAAUCGGAGUCCCGGAUACUCCGAAAUCGCAAACCCUGGGGCUAGGGUUUGGAUUUUAAGCGAUAACGCGAUUUUGGCUAAUCCGACCAUCCGUUUCGGACCAAACUCGCAGAACAUGGUUCCUUCUCUGUAAGGAACCUUCAGAGGAGCCCAGAUUGGCCAUUGGAGACCGUGGACCCACGUGGUCCGGGAUCGGCCGAUCUGGCAGUAUAUCGCUUAGUAAGGCUUCAGGUCUCUUAAGGUCGUUCUAGCUGUCUAAAAAGCUAAUGUGGGCAUAAGAGUAACUUUAAAAUGAGUGCACGUAUUUCUAGGAGCCGGGGGCAGGGUGUUUAAUUUGAUUCUUUUUAUUCAGCAGUUUAUUGAUUUAUUAUUCAUGGAUAAUCAGGCACCAGAGGUCCAGUCGACCUGCAGGAAGGACCUUCGAAGGGUCCAAUUAG
rnacentral:lncRNA from 1 species